rnacentral:rRNA from 1 species
GUCCACGCUGUAACGAUGAGAACUAGAUGUUGGGAGGUAUAACCUCUCAGUGUCGCAGCUAACGCAUUAAGUUCUCCGCCUGGGAGUACGGCCGCAAGGUUGAACUCAAAGGAAUUGACGGGGACCCGCACAAGCGGUGGAGCAUGUGGUUUAAUUCGAUGCAACGCGAAGAACCUUACCUGCCCUUGACAUCCUUGGAAUCCUGCAGAGAUGUGGGAGUGCCUUCGGGAACCGAGAGACAGGUGCUGCAUGGCUGUCGU